rnacentral:rRNA from 1 species
AUACGAAGGGGGCUAGCGUUGCUCGGAAUGACUGGGCGUAAAGGGCGCGUAGGCGGUUUGGACAGUCAGAUGUGAAAUCCCCGGGCUUAACCUGGGAACUGCAUUUGAUACGUCCAGACUAGAGUUCGAGAGAGGGUUGUGGAAUUCCCAGUGUAGAGGUGAAAUUCGUAGAUAUUGGGAAGAACACCGGUGGCGAAGGCGGCAACCUGGCUCAUGACUGACGCUGAGGCGCGAAAGCGUGGGGAGC